rnacentral:ribozyme from 1 species
UUUUUUUUUUUUUUUUUUUUUUUUUUUCAGCUACAAUGAGCUGGUAAGUAACUAAAGGGUGAGAGAGUCUAGAGAAUAGAGCAUAGAGAGAGAGAAAGAGAGAGAAUUGCCUGUCAUCGUUUUGU